UACAGAGGUCUCAAGCGUUGUUCGGAUUCAUUGGGCGUAAAGGGUGCGUAGGCGGCUUGUUGCGUCAGCUGUGAAAACCCGCAGCUCAACUGUGGGCUUGCAGCUGAUACGGGCAGGCUUGAGUCCGGAAGGGGCGAGUGGAAUUCCUGGUGUAGCGGUGAAAUGCGCAGAUAUCAGGAGGAACACCAAUGGCGAAGGCAGCUCGCUGGAACGGUACUGACGCUGAGGCGCGAAAGCGUGGGGAGCGAACAGG
rnacentral:rRNA from 1 species